CCUACGGGAGGCUGCAGUGAGGAAUAUUGGGCAAUGGAGGCAACUCUGACCCAGCCAUGCCGCGUGAGUGAAGAAGGUUUUCGGAUUGUAAAGCUCUUUCGGAUGUGACGAUGAUGACGGUAGCAUCUAACGAAGCACCGGCUAACUUCGUGCCAGCAGCCGCGGUCAUACGAAGGGGGCAAGCGUUGUUCGGAAUUACUGGGCGUAAAGGGAGUGUAGGCGGUUUAGUAAGAUAGUGGGGAAAUCCCAGAGCUUAACUUUGGAAUUGCCAUUAUAACUAGUAGACUAGAAUUACAGAGAGGAUAGUGGAAUACCCAGUGUAGCGGUGAAAUUCGUAGAUAUUGGGUAGAACACCAGUGGCGAAGGCGACUAUCUGGCUGUACAUUGACGCUGAGGCUCGAAAGCAUGGGGAUCAAACAGGAUUAGAUACCCGAGUAGUC
rnacentral:rRNA from 1 species